UCUCCGUUGGUGAACCGGCGGAGGGAUCAUUACCGAGUUAUCAACUCCCAAACCCCUGUGAACAUACCUGAACGUUGCUUCGGCGGGACCGCCCCGGCGCCCUCAUCGGCCCGGAACCAGGCGCCCGCCGGAGGACCCAAACUCUUGUAUUAUAGUGGCAUAUUCUGAGUCUCACAAGAAAAUGAAUCAAAACUUUCAACAACGGAUCUCUUGGCUCUG
rnacentral:misc_RNA from 1 species